AUUAUUUUCCUCAUUAUCUCUCUCUCUUCUCUCUCUCUCUCUCUCUCUCUCUCUCUCACAGAUUCAAACAUUAAUCUCUCUUGUUCAUCCUGUUCUUCAUUUUCUUUCAGAAAGAACGCAUAAUUUACUGCUACUAUUACUCCUUUUCAGAGGCAAAAAUCCUUGAUUUUCGUAGUUAUCUCAGCAUCUCUUUUUUUUUUUGGAGAAAAUCUCAGUAGUUCCACCAUUUCCUCGCUGGAUUUUUCUCCUUUUUAGCAAGAACAAUUGUUUAUGUCGUUCUAAUUAAAAUAGCAACUUCUAUAGAUUUCAUUGCGUAGCUGCAAGUCUAAUUUAAGUUUUUCUCCUUGAGAUCUCUCCUUUUUUUUUGAGAAAAUCUCAGUCCAUCUCCUUUAUUCAUAUUUUAAAACCAAACCUCUAAUUUAAGUUUUUUGUGUAUUCAAUUUUAUAGUAGUUCAGAGAGAUUUCUACAAACAUCGAAAGUGAGGAGAAAAGAAGAUAUGGGAUCAAUGGAGAAUGUUCACUCCUCUGCUAGCGAUUCUUUAAUAUGGGGGUUUCAGCAUAAUAAGUAUCGUCAUGACCAAACUAAUCUUCCACGUUUAUAUGGUGGAGAUUAUUGACCAAGAGGAAGCUAGAAUUUUGAUUCAAUGGCAUGUAUUGUAUAAGGCAUAUGUGGAAGAGGAGGCCAAAUUAAAAGUUGGUGCAGCUGCGAACCAACAAGAAAAACAAACAAAGGUUCCUUAUUAGGUUCCUUACUUUAGUCCUAGAGACUAAGAAAAUGGCGCCCGCCGCGAGCAGUUUGUCUACUAAGGAGAGGAGAGAGCAAGAAGCUGCAGCUAGAGGUACGACAUCGUCUAAUUCCGGGUCAUCGAAAAAAUCUCAGCUUGGUUCUAUGGGGAAAAUUGGGCAAAUCUUUACGCCGUAUAUAGUUAAUAUAGCUCCUGGUGAGGUUAUGAUCCUAACCAAGACCGAUUACUUUCAUGAUCUGGCUCAGCCGAAUAUUUUUUCCUUCCCCUUCUUCAAACUCCGAUUAUUUGCAAGAAGGUUUAAAUUGAAGGAAUUUUCCGAUGCUGAAUCUUGCCAAAUAGAUUUAGUGUUAGAAUGAGAGAAUUAUUGAGAGUUUAUUUCUGGGGAAUGAAGAACAUGAAGAACAUGAGAGAAAGAGAAAGUAUGAGAGAGAUGUAGAUUUCAAAAUGUAAGAGAGAGAAGGAGAGAAUAGUUUCCUUAAUUUAAUUGUAGAUCUGGAUACAAGUAUUUAAAGGCAAGUUGCCUCAGUACACAAUACAAUAAAAUAUUCAUUGUUUUAAAAUA